GGUCCCUGGUCCCAGGCCAUUCGCCCCCUUUUUCCUCUGUACCCCGAACAGCCCAGGGAUGCCUGGCAAUGUGGGUGCUCAAAAUUCACAGAUGAAUGACAUUUAUAGCACAUUAGGGCCCCAGGCCCCAGUUUUAACGCAGUAGGCGGAAUCACUGGAGAGAGAGAUUUGGGCAGCACAGCACAGAAUGGGACCCAAGGGGGCCCUGCCGUGGCCCCACAGGCUCCAUCAUGAAUCUGCGCCAGCAUGAACAAGGGCUCAGCAGCUUCUUCCAUGAAGCAGGCGCUUGUCGUCAGAUGCAGGUAGGUCCUGGGGCAGGGAGGCUGUCACUGUGGGGGCCUGACCAGAGCUUCCUUUUCACCUCCCCUUCCCCCUGUACACACUUGGCUGUGAUCCAGGAAGGCAAAGAGCCACUGCAGCCUGGAAAUAAAAGGCUUUGAGUUGUUCUCAAAUGAAGCCAACAGUGUUUGAAGCUUCAGAACAAAGCAGGAGUGCCCAGGGUAAGCAAAGGCCCCAAAGGAGCCUCUACUCACCCAUGGCCUCCAGGCCAAAGGAAGAACAGGCAUUUCUAGCUCAAGGUGAGGGUGGAGGCAGGGGACCUGGAGGAAGAAAAGGUGAACACUUGGCUCAGAGUGUCUGGGAUCAGAAACAGCAAUGACCUUGGUUUCUAAAAUAAAGGGUAUAAUAGCAAGGUGACCACUGAAGUCCCUACCAGCUCUGUCAUCCCAUGGCCCCAGGAGCCAGAGAUGAGUGUGUCCUAAGGUCUUGUGGUCCCAGGGUUCUAAGUCUGGGGCUCUGGUCAACCCCAGAGUUCAUGCCAACAUCAUCCCAACCACAGCAGCCCCCGCUCCCUUUCUCCAUGCUUCCCCAAGAAACAGCAUCCAGACCCCUGCAAAGCACUAAGCUCUAAGUCCGGCCCCAGUCCACUCCUGCAGCCCCUGCUCAGUGCCCUGGCCCAAAGCCACCCAGAGUUAUUCUCCUGCCUUCAGAUGAGAAAGGCAGGUGUCAGUAUGAGAAAUAUUCUGACAGAAGAGAACACGGUGGUAUAGACUGGCUCCUGGUGACAGAGGUGUGGCACUAUGGGAGACAGGAGAGAGACCCUCUUCAUGCCUAUAUUCCCUGGAACAAAAUGAUUUCCAGGUCCCAGCUUUGCUCCUCUUCUCACUAGACAUUCUGGACAGAUCCAUGAUGCAUUUCUCCAAACAGCCCAUUGCAUAGAAUGGCACUGCUCAAAGUGUGGGUCACUUGGCUGGUCCAAGGCAAUGUAAGUUCAGAAAUGGAGGAAGCAUUUAGAAACCUGUAAAGCACUGGGAUAUUACCAUGACCAUUUAAGCACCGGAGCUUUUGUUGUUGUUAAGUCAUUUUAUUGUGUUUUACAAAAGUAAUGGUCUGCAGUAGACCAAAAUUAGAAAAACAAAACAAAUUAUUCACCAGGAAAUUGAGAAGAAUUAGUAGCAGCAGCUUAGGAAGUUAAGAGAUCAUAUCCAACCUCCUCUGCUGAACCUGAAGCUCAGAGAGAGAAAACUGACUUGAGGUCAUACUAUAAACCUGGAUCAAACCUUCUUUCACAGGAUCAAAGCUGAAGUUUUGAGUGAUUUUUAUGCAAGCCAUAAGGUAAUUGGGUAGCCAUAGACAAUAAAUACUGUGUUUGUUGCAUUAAAGAAAAACAUGCCUGAAACCAGAAUGAAUGUGAACUUCACUCAGGAAGACACAGCCCACCACCAUGGACUCAAGGAGAAGUCAGUGAUGUCAACCAGCCCAGUGAGGACCCCUCCUCCCACUGUAGCCCAGUCCCUUGUGCCCAUCUUGAGUUCUCAUCCUGUUGCUACCUUCUGCCUUGGCAAUGGCCUGAAGCCCUCUGGGGCCUUCAUGUGCCCACAGACCUCAGGGGAUCAUGUCAGUAAUGCAAAGGAAGACCCACUCUCUCCAUCCCACAUUCUCCUUUCUACCUUCUACCGGUGACCAUAAAGCAGAGAACCAAGGGCAGAGAGGAAGUGAAAAAUCAGCGUCUAUACAAAAGCCACGAACAAGCCUAAGGAACGCUGUUCACGCAGCGUGUAGAACCCAAUUGAUUAAAACAAUGUUGCCCGUGUGUUACUUAACCAUGAGCUCGGGGCAGAAACCAGCCAGCUCGCUCUCCUGUGAGACCCAGGCCUCCUGCCGUGAUUGCUGCUUGGUGUAAUCCUCACUGGGAACGUGAAAGUCCUGGGCAGGAAACAAGGCAGGCAGUGGGCCCCAGAAUCAGCCCAGCAGCUGGGCUAGAAAAGUCACCUCCUCUGGGAAGUCGUCUUCACUACAGCCAACUUGGCUGUAGUCCUGAGGGACUGCCUACAAAUGUUGCCAACAGCUUCUGCCUGCAAACACAGUCCAGCUUCUCAUCUUGUCAUGAGGGCCUUUUAUGUAACCUUUCAUUUCACACCACCUUAAGUAAUGCCUAUUUUAUACAUUAAGUGACUAAGAUUCAGGUAGAGAAAAGAAUUGGCCAGGUCACAUGCCAAUGAAUGAAGGAUUCCUAAGUUCUUGCAGGAGCCCAGCAGCUACAGCCCUGGCCUAUUGGAAUCCAGUGGCAUCAAGACCUCAAUGUGAGCCCCAGUGCUCGUCCCCACUCACUGUCUGGCCGUGGCCAGUGAGCCUCUCUGACUCAGCCUGUGAACACCCCCUGGGCCUAGAUUUCCUGUGUCAGGUGAGGAUAUGCCUACCUUCUGUCAUUUUGGCAUUCUGUACUUCCAUGGUGCUUACCCACAAUCAUGUUCCUGCUUUCAUCUACUUUUAGAUUUGCAGUCAACCUGCAAGACAAUUAGUCACCCUCUUGGAACAUGCUCCUACUGUCAGGACAAUGGGAGGGUGCUGGAGGUCUGUGGUAUGGGUUCUUGAUCAUGAGCAAGCUUUCCCCCAGGACCCUUUAUCAUAUUAAACAGCUGCAUCUGCAGCAGUAUCGCCAAACACUAGUUCUAAUAAUGACGUAUUUUACAGUGUGACCUAAGCACAAUGUAGUGUUUCUUAACUGAUUUAAGCAGCAUUUAUGACAGUUCCUCUACCCUAUCCUUAUCCCCAGAUCCCGAGUGCAAUGCCCUGGAUUUGUACAGGGGUCCACAGAGCUUGAAGCUGGCUUAGUACCAAUACCCACAUCUCCCCAGUGCAUGUCCUCCAACUACUGUAGAAGACCUUGUCUGAGUAGUGGUUUCACUCACUCAUUUCCCAGGAUCAUUUAUCAGAUAAUGUAUCAGAUUAGCCAGUCCCCUCUUACAGAUGAUUUU